rnacentral:lncRNA from 1 species
AAGUAAGUUUGAAUCUAGAUGGUUUCAACAACUUCAAACCAGUGAGAAACUGAGAACAUAUAGAACUUUCAAAAACAUUUUCAAAUUUGAAAAUUAUCUUGUUAAUAUUUGUAACGAAAAUGAUAAAUAUAACAUGAGUAGAUAUAGAACCAGCAAUCAUAGACUGCAAAUUGAAUUGGGUAGAUAUACAAUACCAAAAACACCUGUUAAUGACAGAACAUGUAAGAACUGUUCCUCUUGUGAAGUAGAAG